AUGAACGCCUAGCGACAGGCUUAACACAUGCAAGUCGAGGGGUAACAGGGUAGCAAUACCGCUGACGACCGGCGCACGGGUGAGUAACGCGUAUGCAACCUGCCUAUAACUGGGGAAUAGCUCCCUGAAAGGGGAAUUAACACCGCAUAACACUAUUGAUUCGCAUGGAUUGGUAGUUAAAUGUAGCGAUACAGGUUAUAGAUGGGCAUGCGUGACAUUAGCUAGUUGGUGAGGUAACGGCUCACCAAGGCUACGAUGUCUAGGGGUUCUGAGAGGAAGGUCCCCCACACUGGUACUGAGACACGGACCAGACUCCUACGGGAGGCAGCAGUGAGGAAUAUUGGUCAAUGGGCGCAAGCCUGAACCAGCCAUGUCGCGUGCAGGAAGACUGCCCCUAUGGGUUGUAAACUGCUUUUAUAGUAGAAGAAACACAUCUACGCGUAGAUGUCUGCCAGUAUACUAUGAAUAAGCAUCGGCUAACUCCGUGCCAGCAGCUGC
rnacentral:rRNA from 1 species